CGGGUGAGUAAUGCCUAGGAAUCUGCCUGGUAGUGGGGGACAACGUUUCGAAAGGAACGCUAAUACCGCAUACGUCCUAUGGGAGAAAGCAGGGGACCUUCGGGCCUUGCGCUAUCAGAUGAGCCUAGGUCGGAUUAGCUAGUUGGUGAGGUAAUGGCUCACCAAGGCGACGAUCCGUAACUGGUCUGAGAGGAUGAUCAGUCACACUGGAACUGAGACACGGUCCAGACUCCUACGGGAGGCAGCAGCC
rnacentral:rRNA from 1 species